rnacentral:rRNA from 2 species
UUUGAUAUAAAUAUAAAAGGUCCAGCCUGCCCAGUGACCUAGUUCAACGGCCGCGGUAUCCUAACCGUGCGAAGGUAGCGUAAUCACUUGUUCUUUAAAUGAGGACUAGUAUGAAUGGCACCACGAGGGUUAAACUGUCUCCUUUUUCUAAUCAGUGAAACUAAUCUCCCCGUGAAGAAGCGGGGAUUACCAUAUAAGACGAGAAGACCCUAUGGAGCUUAAAACAAAUUAACACCUGCUUCCAUCUAUCUUUAUUCCUGAGCUAACACAUAAAAUACAGCAUUAUUGAUUAAUAGUUUUCGAUUGGGGUGAUCAUGGAGUAAAAAUCAACCUCCACGACGAAAAGGCCACUUCCCUGAGCUAAAAGCUACAACUUUAAGCACUAAAAAAUUAACGCACUUUGACCCAAAUUUUUGAGCAACGAAC